rnacentral:tmRNA from 1 species
GGGGCUGACAAAGCUUAGACGGAUUAUUAACAGAUAUCAGGCAUGACGAUUGAUACCGUAAGUAUUGAAUAAGUGAAGAAACAACUUCAAAGCACGUGCUUUAUGCACCUGUUUACGCCUAAUUAUUUAUAGGCCGGUUUAGAUAUAGUUUUCCGGAUGAUCUAAAUUGUUAUAAAAUAGGAAAUAGGGGUAGUCCAUUGAUGGGGACUACUUAGAAAAAAUAGUCAUGACGACUAGUAGUUUUGUUCCGUUGCCGCUACUAGUGUAAGUCGAGAUGAAACAAGGAACUAUGCAUGUAGAAUGAUAUCAUGGAGAUUUUUCGGACCCGGAGGCAGUAUCCGGCAGCUCCACCA